CUCAAAUACCUGACCCAGCAAUGAUGCACACACUUCACACAACUACACAAUAACUUCAAAAAGAAUUGAACUACACCCAACCACUACGCAAGCCCACGUACGAAACCCAGUACCAGUCCCCCAUUAGGAGGUAACGCCAAACUUGCUGACUAGGCCACCUAAAAUGAGAAACAAGAAGGAAGGCAAAGCUAACACUCCACAUUGCCCUCCCUACUCCACCUCUCACGUGCUAGAAAGAUACACUCGGCACUGCACAUGCUCACAUGCCUGACCAUGGCCCACUGCACUCACUAGGCACCAAAGCAAGACACCACAAAGCCACAUUAAAUAUGGC